ensembl:rRNA 5S_rRNA 5S ribosomal RNA
GAUUACGGCCAUACCACACUGAAAAUGCCCGAUCUCGGAAGCUAAGCAGAGUUGGGCUGGGUCAGUACUUGGAUGGGUGACAGCCUGGGAAUACCCGGAGCUGUAAGUA